UUAAAGUGGAGAGUUUGAUCCUGGCUCAGAAUGAACGCUGGCGGCGUGCUUAACACAUGCAAGUCGCACGAGAACGCUUCAGCUUGCUGAGGC
rnacentral:rRNA from 1 species